CCAGCAUGUAUAAGUAUACCCUGCCAGACAGGGAAACUGCGUACGGCUCAUACACCAGCUGUAAUUUACUUGACCUUGACAAAAACCUACUUGGAUAACUGUGGUAAUUCUAGAGCUAAUACAUGCACCAAAACUCCGAUCGCAAGAGAGGAGUGCAUUUGUUCGCCACAAAACCAAGCGCCCUCGGGCGUCACACAGUGCUGACCCAGAACAACUCAGCUGAUCGCACGGUCUUGCACCGGCGACGUGUCUUUCAAGUGUCUGCCUUAUCAACUUUCGAUGGUAGUGUACCUGACUACCAUGGUUGUGACGGGUAACGGAGGAUCAGGGUUCGACUCCGGAGAAGGGGCCUGAGAAAUGGCCACUACGUCUAAGGAUGGCAGCAGGCGCGCAAAUUACCCACUCUCGACUCGAGGAGGUAGUGACGAGAAAUAACAAGACCGUUCUCACAUGAGGCCGGUCAUUGGAAUGGGUACAAUUUAAACCCUUUAACGAGUAUCUAUGAGAGGGCAAGUCUGGUGCCAGCAGCCGCGGUAAUUCCAGCUCUCAAAAUGCAUAGAAUCAUUGCUGCGGUUAAAAAGCUCGUAGUUGGAUCUGUGCUGGCCGCCCGGUCUGCCCGUUGGGUAUGCACUGGAGCGGUCGGCUUUUGCUGCCGGUUUACGCCCGGCGUUGGCCUUCACCGGUCGGCGUCGGUGGGCCGGCGAGUUUACUUUGAACAAAUCAGAGUGCUUCAAACAGGCGUCUCGCCUGAAUGUUCGUGCAUGGAAUAAUGGAAGAGGAUCACGGUCCGAUUUUAUUGGUUUUGCUGACCGAGAUAAUGGUUAACAGAGACAAACGGGACCAUUCGUAUUGCUACGUGAGAGGUGAAAUUCUUGGACCGUAGCAGACGGACUACAGCGAAAGCAUUUGGCAAGAAUGUCUUCAUUAAUCAAGAACGAAAGUCAGAGGUUCGAAGGCGAUCAGAUACCGCCCUAGUUCUGACCGUAAACGAUGCCAACUAGCGAUCCGCCGGCGGAUUCAUUCGCCCUGGUGGGGAGCUUCCCGGAAACGAAAGUCUUCCGGUUCCGGGGGAAGUAUGGUUGCAAAGCUGAAACUUAAAGGAAUUGACGGAAGGGCACCACCAGGAGUGGAGCCUGCGGCUUAAUUUGACUCAACACGGGGAAACUCACCCGGCCCGGACACCGUGAGGAUUGACAGAUUGAUAGCUUUUUCAUGAUUCGGUGGAUGGUGGUGCAUGGCCGUUCUUAGUUCGUGGAGCGAUUUGUCUGGUUUAUUCCGAUAACGAGCGAGACUCUGGCCUACUAAAUAGUUGGUGCAUUGCCUCUGUGCACACGACUUCUUAGAGGGAUUUUCGGUGUUCAGCCGCACGAAAUUGAGCAAUAACAGGUCUGUGAUGCCCUUAGAUGUCCGGGGCUGCACGCGCGCUACACUGGCAAAAUCAGCGUGCUUGUCCUCGCCCGAAAGGGCUUGGUAAACCCGUGAAAAUUUGCCGUGAUUGGGAUCGGACAUUGCAAUUAUUGUCCGUGAACGAGGAAUUCCUUGUAGGGGCGAGUCAUCAACUCGCUCUGAAUACGUCCCUGCCCUUUGUACACACCGCCCGUCGCUGCCCGGGACUGAGCCAUUUCGAGAAACUCGGGGACGAUUAUGCGUGUCGGCUUCGGUCGUCGCGUUGAUUGGAACCGAUUUAAUCGCAGUGGCUUGAACCGGGCAAAAGUCGUAACAAGGUAGCUGUAGGUGAACCUGCUGCUGGAUCAUUACCCACGUGAUUCAAAUUCACCAACUAGCGCCUCUGUGUUGCGGCGCAAGGCUCAUACACCGCUGGUUGCGCGCGUCUCGUUGCCCGCGGGGGUCCCCCUGAAAAACAAAAAUUGUGUGGGGAGUCAUGUUGUGUGCGGUCGAGUGACGCUGGGUGCUUUCUAUUUCUCCUAAGCUCAGCAUGGUAUUUGCCUUUGGCCCAUGUGUUAACAAAAUGGAGUGUGAUUGCCCGCCUUCCACGCGCUCAGUGCAAUGUGACUCGUCCUCAGUGAGCACAAAACGGAUGUGCUGGUGUCUAUGUGUUGUUGAGCAGUUGUUGCGCAUGCAGAUUUUUGGCAGAGUGUGUGUUUUGUUUGCUGACGUGCUUUUUGCACGGCCAGAGAGCAGUGAAUCGGCGAGCACACACACACACAUACUGUCCGCGCUGCAUGUUGGCUACGUCCGUGGCUGCGAUGAGACAACGCGAGAGGAUCACGCGAUUGCCUUUUCGAGUGAUCUAGACUUGAUGAGUGCAUUUUGUCAAGCACCGCCUGUAAUUUUUUCAAGUAACAAUUUUUGUGAACAACGCGCGUUUUGCACUAAGGAUAAAAUUCUAGUCUACCGGGGGAUCAA
rnacentral:rRNA from 1 species